CUGACCUCAGGUGAUUCACCUGUCUUGGACUCCCAAAAUGCUGGGAUUAUAGGCGUGAGCCACUGUGUCUGGCCAGGUGCCUCUAAGUUCUAAGGAUGCCAUGAAGAGCUUACGGCUUUGAGACUGGAGGUGAGAGACAAGAGGCGUCACAAAUGCAGCAGGAGGUGGAGCACACCAAAGCCCAGUGUUCACAUGGGAGUCGCCUGCAGUUUCACAGAGGGAUGCGCCCGCACUAAAUCCUAUGCGGGCUGGGGAGACAGCCUCAGACACAUUGAGAGAGGAAUGUCUUAUUGAGAAAGAACUAUCAAUAUUGCUUUUUGAGACAGGGCUAUACAGGGCUUUGUUGCUUAUCCCUAGGGCCUGGCACAGAACUGGCAACCUGCAGUGCUCAGAAGUUUUUGGAUGGAUGGCUGAAUGGAAGGAUGGAUCAUCCAUAGCAGUGAUCACUUAGAAUCCAGGGAGUAGUUAGCAGGCCCCCUACCUGCCGUCAGGCAACUCACCAUCUUGUGGAAGACAUCAGGCCCAAAAGAGGCUUUGAGAGCCAGGGGUUCAGAAACCCUCCUGGCUGUUUUAUGCAUGUCAUGGCACACAACAUGGCAGUUAGGGAGGACUUCCUGGAGGAAGGAGGUCCUAGGUCAGCCUAGGAGAGAAGAGGGAUUAAAGAUGAUGUGGCCUUUUUCAGGUGGGGCAGUAAGCCACACUCUGGGUGAUGGUGGACUUUGACCCCAUAGGGUCCCUGGGACCUAGGUGAACUAGGUCCUGGGGGAGAGUGUGGCCAUCCAUUGAACCUUGCCUAGAGUGGCACCUUUUCAUGUCCCAGUUCCUGCAGUCCUCCAAUCCCUGCCACCUGGGACAAUUCCUCCAAGCAUUCCCUCCCCAGGACACUGGUUCUCCCUGUCUGCCCCCUCUCCUAGAAUAGACUACCUCCCAGUAUGUGACCCACUGCCUUGCAUGGGGCUUCAAGACUUUCUUGGCUCAGUGCCCCAAGGAAAGCUCACCCUCUUAUUCCAUAUUCACCCCUCUCCAGCCCAGGACAACCGUAGUAGGGGAAGGAGCAACAGGAUGUGGUGGGCAGGAUAAAUUUGACGAGGACCUAUACCAGAUCCUGUAGUCACUGCCUACCACACCUCUAACCAGGCCUCCCUCCUGCCCAAAUGGAUUCUCACUUCUUGGGAUCAUGGCACCUUCAUCUGUGCCCUUGCUGAAUACUAACAUGGGCCAAGCAUACUGUGGCACUUAAUAAAUGCUUUCUGCCCAGGGGAUAGGGCUGUUGCAUAAUGGUUCACUGUGUGGGGGUUGGGAGUGGGGACGGACGGGUUUCCAGUUCAUUUGUUAGCUGGGCAUUCUGCAGUCAGAGGCGUCUUUGUCUUUUUAAGGCCCAUCCCUGGUCUCUCCCUAAUCCAGGAAGCCUCCCUGCCUCCCCAGGUCCACAGAGAUCCUUUCUCCUUCAGGAACCUCGUUGCCUUUAGAAUUGAAGCCACCAUCAUAUCCUGAGCUGUUGGCCUCUGUUUCCUGUGAGUGAGUCUCCUGUCCCUCUGCUGCUGUGUCUUUGUUUUCUGUUGGUCAAGAGCUGAGCUUGAAACUCACAGCCUGGGUGUGAACUCAGCUUCUCCACUUACUCAGUGUGAGCAGGACCUUGAGCAAGCCACCUCCUUCUUGGAGCCUUCUUUUUCUCAUCUGUUGAGUGGGGGUAAGAGUGAUACUUGUCUCAAAUAGCUGGGAAGAUGGGAUGAGUUCCUGCUUGUAGAGUACUUAGCCCAAUGUCUAGGGCAGAGUAGAUACUUGCUGAGUGGUGACUGUUGUCACUUACUAUUAUUGUUCCCAGGCAGCAGGGCUGAGCUCAGAACCAGGCCUGUUAUGGUGCUUAGCAUCUGUUGCCUGAGCAAGCAGCUGCCUUUGCAAUCCUGCAAUCUUGCAAGGGUCAUGGGUGGGGAGUGGGGACCAGGGUGGGAGGGCACCAGGAAUCUUGCUUUCUGAGGCCAGGCUGAGGCUGCCAGGACGUUCAGCCUGAGUGGUGACUCCUCUUGCCAAGAGAUGGCCAUCUCCAGAUGUCUGCAGGCCGGAGGAGCCGGCUGGCCAUGUGGGGGCCUGGGGGCAGAGACAGGACUAAUGGGAGGAAAUUACACAGAGAGAUUUCAUCUCGGCUUGAGGAAGCACGUCUAGCAGUCAGAGCUGGCCAGCCAUGGCCUGCCCGGACUGCAGCAGAGGCAGUGAGCUCCCUGUCACCAGAGGUGUGUGAGCAGAGGCUGGGGGCUCUCUAGGGAGGGAAGUUGCAGAGGGGCUGUCUGCCCUCCUCGCCCCUCUGAGGCUGUGGGCAGUCCCUUCUACUUCCUGUGUGGCUCUGCCCAUCGCUUGGCCUAAUUGAGCCUACUGCAGGCAUCUGACCAGCUGCAGGCUCUGAGGUGAGUGUGAGGGCAAAGGUUUGGACACCUCUGGCUCCAAACUGGGGCAGGAGGUUGGAGCAGGGGUGGUCAUUGUAAGAGUCUGAUCUCAGGGGGGCCUCAUACCGACAACAUCACCUUCUUUUUGGAGAGGCAGCCUAGUGUAGUGGCUGGUAGCCUUAGGCCUUCUGGGGCCAGGGAGGACAGAGACCGGAGGGAGGGAUUAUUCUUAAGCCAGAUGCCCCUCACGGGCUUCAACUUUUUCUAAAACCAGGAACUGGAAGGAGAAGGAUGGGAAGAAACAGAAGAGAAGAGAGCCUGGGUUUCCAUUUUGCUCCCACCACUUGGUAGCUCUGUGGCUUUGGCAGGUCAUCCUUUUUUUGUUUGACUCCGCCGUCUUACUCAUGAUUGGGUCCCCUGGGCAGAGCCAGGGCCUGGCAGAGAGCAGAUGUCCAGUAAAUACCUCUUGGCCCUAAGAAUGACUGGGAACACUCACGCAGUGGGAACACCUUCCUGUGUGUUAUCUCAUCUCAUCCUCACAGCAGCCCAGAGAGAAGAACUAUGGAUACAUGAAGGCGAGUACUGCCUUUCGGUGGGUGCAAGGAAUCCCUGGGUGUUGAUGUUGAAGAAACCAUUUGAGAAACGACCGCAGGUGCACACAGAUCUGAGGCCCUGAUCUGUUCCACUCUCUUUAUGCCAAACAGAGGAGGGACGCGAACCCCAGCAUGAAACGGCACCCACAACCACAAGGCCCGGUGUGCGCCCUCUGAAACCGUAGGUAAAGACAAUUACCGGCAAUUUCCACAGCAUGGUUUGUUUUUUGUUCAAAGGCCAUGGAGGCAUUCUCAGCAGCAGGCCCAAAAUGUAGUAUUCCCACCGCACGCCGCCCUCAUGAAUUUGUGAUAAAAGCUGUGGUCGCUUUGUCCCGGCUCUUCCUUUUAACAGUCAAACCUUCAGGUUUGAUGUUGAAACUGCUUUUUUCUUCAAGUGUACUUUGAUGGUGAAGAUAACGCUCCAUGAUAAGGAACCUGCCUUCAAAACCACUCACUGUACCUCGUGCUCACCAUUAAGAUGCACGUCACAAGGGAAAAUCAGGCACCUGAAUUUUUGAGUAGUGGGAUGGGAAUGUGCUGAAUCUGUGAAAUUCUCCUCUGUGCUGCCCGUAUUGGAGAUUUUGCCAUCCCCCAACCCCCAAGAAAAGGAGAAGAAGAAGGAGGAGAAGGGGAAGGGGAAGAAAGAAAGAAGAAAGAAGAAGGAAGAAAAAGAAGGAGAAGAAAUAAAGCACCAGGCACUGACCAGAAGGAGGUCCUGGGACGGGAGGAAAAUGGUGUGAAACGUCCUAGAAACAGCUGUUUUUCCUUUGGCAAAAGCUGUCAAGAAUCUACACGUCCGUGCCCAUCUGUUUUCCUUAAUUAAAAAGACUCUGCAAAAUUGAUGCUAAGUGGCCCAGAGCCUCUAAGAGCUUGUGAAUAUCCGAGUGCUCUUGGGGAGGCCGCCCAGGUUCCAGGUUCCUCAGCUGUUGCAUCUCCUGUAGUCAUGUUUAAGCUCUUCCCUUUGUUCAUCAAUAUUUGCAAUCUCCCAAGGGCUGACUACCCUUGGAGCCAUUAUAUCACAAUAGGAAUAGACCCUGUGUUGCUUUGUGUAAGCAAUGAUUGUUUUUUCAUUCUAAAGCACUUUCAUGUCUAUUAUCUCCCUUCCUAUAGAGAAAGUUUUUAUUUAUUAUU